rnacentral:lncRNA from 1 species
GCGUCCAGAGUCUGUUCCUUCUGAUGUUCGGAUGUGUUCGGAGUUUCUUCCUUCUGGUGGGUUCGUGGUCUCGCUGGCUCGGGAGUGAAGCUGCAGACGUUUGCGGAACUCGUGAGUUAUGACAAAAAGAUAUUAUGACUCCCAUGCAGCGGAUGAAGACAUUGAUGCCCAUGAAAGGUAAUUCAGUUCCAACCCCUUCAGUGACAGCAGAGAGACCCAGGCCACCUUCCUUGAGGAUUUCGGAGCUGCAGCCCACAGCCAGGGCCAGAGUGGACUCAGCUCUCCAACCCACGCCCAUGAAUCUCUGCGACUAAAGAUUUCCCCAGACGCUCCCAGGUUCCUCCUGAUCUGCAGCAUUGUCGUCCCUGCCACUGACCAGGAAGCCCUCUGUGCUCCCAUAGCCCCUUCAGAAACCUGUGACUUCCUGAGUCCUAAGUCUUCAGCAGAAACAGCAGCUGCCCCACGCCUUGAGCGGCAGCAGGACCCUUUCUGCCCUGAUCUCCACUCAGCGCUGGAAGCCUGCUCCUCACCCUCAGGCGAUUUCAGAGGAUGUUGACACGUUACCAGUGGGUGAGGAAAGCGUGAGGAAAUAAAAGUGGAUUGACUUCUUGGAUUGAAAGUCCUUCUGGAAGGAGAACUAAUAAUGCUGACAUUGGCUAAGGGAAGUGUUUGCAAGCUCCAUGGGCAUCUCAUUGCUGAUGCUCGAGCACUACUUCAUCACACAAUACCCGAAGAUGAACUAACAGUCACACUCCUUCCCUACGUUAGCCUGAAAAUGAAUGCAUCAAAGAGCUAGAAAAUAAGUCAAGAAUCACGUGGUACUAGGCAGCGUGAAUUUUGAAUCUCUUGGUUAUAAAACUUCUGGUUAGGCUGGGAGCUGUGGCUCACACCUGUAAUCCCAGCACUUUAGGAGGUGGAAGUGGAUGGAUCACCUGAGAUCAGGAGUUCGAGACCAGCCUGGUCAACAUGGCAAAACCCCAUCUCUACUAAAAAUGCAAACAUUAGCCGGGCAUAGUGGUGCAUGCCUGUAGUGCCAGCUACUCAGGAGGCUGAGGCGGGAGAAUCACUUGGGAGGCAGAGGCUACCGUGAGCUGAGAUCGCGCCACUCCACUCCAACCUGGGCGACAGAAGGAGACUCUGUCUCAAACAACAACAACAACAAUUUCUGGCUAAUAAUUGCAUAUUGUAUAUAUGCGUGUGUGUGUGUGUGUGUGUACUUUCUGUAACAAAUGAGCUUUGUAUAAAUGUUUGCAAAUCUUAGUCGUGACUUCAGCAUGAAAGCUUAGUUUAUUAAGAAAUAAUUUCCAUAAAGAAUCCUUUCCAAAUAAUCAAA